CAGGCCUGUUGGGGCGGAGCACAGAGGGAGGCGCGGCCUUCUCUCCCUGGUCUACCGGGCAACGGGCCUGGGCCGAUCAAUGGCGGCAUGUAGGGUCACAGUUGCAAAGUUUAAGGCAGUUAAAAAGGGGGUAUGCAGAGAGUGCGAGAGGCAUAGAGAAAGUAUUGGAGCAAGAAGCAGUAGAAGGGCACUUUAAGGCAGCAGCACGUGGAAGCAGAAAGAAGAAACAUUGGCAGAAUGGGCUCCCUGGACCGGAGAGUGUCCAGGUGGAGUGAGUGGGUGUAUGCGUCGCUCCCUUGCGUGUAGGUAGAACCCCCACGUGAGCUGGUUGGAAAGAAGAAAAACUGCCGCUCUAAGAUGGGCCCGUGUUGCUGUUGGCUCCGAGGAUUGCUGAACUGCAGGAAAAUACAGGAUGGGCCUGCCGUUUCCCUUCUGCAGAAUCCGUUUUUCGGCCUCUUGGAACACUUCCCUGGAAGCAGUUCUGAAAACAUAAACCUCCCAAUGUAAAUGAGUUGUUUACGGUGCCGAUCAUCUGUUCGAAAGCAUUUCUUUUUGCUG